GAGAGGAGGCUCUGGGGGUGGGUUGCAGGGGAGAUGUCAGCUUCCCAGGGCUGUUGUUGCUCUGCUGUGAGGUUGGACUGACCUGGAAAUGUGGCUUGGUUGAGUUCCUCCCCAAGCUAGGGUUUUGGAUGAGCCAGCAUAGGCUGUGGCUGAUCAUACGGCUGGAUUCAGCAGGCUCUGGUGGCCAUCCUUGGGUUGGAUGAUGAGAGGAUGCUGCCGUGGCAAACUGUGCUGGCCUGAAAAUUGAGACUUAAUUGUCGGCUCCGACAAAACGAGGCUGUAGCACUGUAAUUGGAACAGCCUGCAUGGGGACUGAAACCCACACAGCAUCCGUUCUCACCGGAGUAUUUGCAGCCGUUGGACUUGAGACAGAAAUUAAUUCUGGUGCAUCUGCAGCCACUGCUCAGCAGAACGAACAAGACAAAUGCAGCAUUCCCUGGAGCUCUGCAGCCAGUGACAGACAAAGAUCUGUCUGGACACCCCAGCCCAUUUCUUGCUGGUGUAACUGUGGAAGAAGCCUUGGAAGCUGUCAAGUGUUGGUUGAGCAAAUGAAACCUCUGAGAAAAGGUGAGCAAGAAAAGGGCUUUGAAACCUGCUCCACGCCGAAGGGGUUGGGGAGCAGUGCUCGUGCUGCAUGCAGGACUAGUUCUCACAGCUCGCCCUUCCAACAAGACCAAACACCUGAUACCAGAAUGCAGCCGCUGCUGGGGUGGGGGUGGCUGCCCUUACAGAGGAGCAGUACUUGAUAACUCCGCACAAGGUAAAUAGAUGCUGCAAGAGCUCAGUAUCUCUGGAAGAUCAGGCCCUGGAGAGUCCCAACGCGCCUGGAGAAUCUAGGUCUUGGGUACAAGCAAAGCAGACGCCAGAUGGGCUGGUGAGAAGCUGACGUGGCACGAGCAGGCGGAAGAUUUUUGUAUUCCUUCCUUCUUGCCUCCCCUGAAGAUGUGGUGUCAAACCAGCCCAUCGCUCCCACAGGUGCUGCACGUUCCACUGUAGGAACAUAAAAAUACCAUUGCAGCCUAAAAGCAAAAAAAAAAAGGUGAUAUAAACCUUCAACUGCUCACAUGCAUCCAUCAAUGUGGACAUAAAACAGCAGGGACAUGUUGGAAGCUGGAAUAUACAUCCUGCAUUACAAAGUGCAAAAUACUACAUGCUCAGAGCCCAAGCAUGAUGUCUGAAACAGUCCACAGCAAGAUGUAAGAGACAAACCCACCACCCUCUCCCUCCUCUCUGGGACAUGCUCCAGUGCUCCUCCCCAGAUGCCUUUGAAAAACAGUUUUAGCUUUAUUUUGCUUGGGUUUAUUGUAUCCUAAGUGGAUCAGAAUUGAGCCCUCUUGCCCCAGUACCUCCCCGCCAGUCUGCUCCCCGGCAUCUCUGUGCACGCGUGGUUUUGGGAUGGGACGCUCCGGUAAGGCUGCUCCUCGCGUGCUGGCGAGCACGGCACGGUGACCAGCAGCCACUCAAUCCGUGUUCCUGAAG